ACCUCCUCCUAGCAUGGAGAUGCCAGCUCUACUUACCAAGCCAUAUGGCCUCUCCGUUCAGCAGUCCUGGUGGACAAAGAGCAUUCUGUUCAGUCCUGAACUGUGGACUCACCAGCACAGGAGGCUGCAGAAGUUGGGUCUCCCCUCUGGGGCUUGGACAGAGAGCACGUGAGCAGUGCUGAGGCCCGCCACACCGUGGCUGAAGCAACGUCUAAUCGUCCUUGCAUGGUAUUCAAACUUUGGGAGCACACCUGUUCGAAGUACACUGGGAACCUCUGACUUCAUUUACUACUUGCUUUGGUAAAAAGAAAAUGGCUUCUGACCAGCAGGAAAUAAUAACCCAAAUGAAUCUAGAAGAACUUCUGUGUCAAUUCUAGGUGGAAUAUUCUAUUACUUUCCGACUAAUUUGCCAAAUUUGCCAAACUGAAGUCAUCUCUCUGAGUGGCACAGAGCCUGCUAGUUUCCUCUGACAGUCAUUUACUGGGCCACUUGGAUUUAGGAAGAUCGGUACAGAAGAGAUGAGACAAGGCUUGACUAAAAGCUAGAGCUCUGGGCUAUAAUUUUUAUUCCUGUAUGAGCUGUGUGAUCCUUGGCCAGACUU